rnacentral:rRNA from 1 species
CUUAGUGGCCAUCAUUAAGUUGGGCACUCUAAGUUGACUGCCGGUGACAAACCGGAGGAAGGUGGGGAUGACGUCAAAUCAUCAUGCCCGUUAUGAUUUGGGCUACACACGUGCUACAAUGGACAAUACAAAUGGCAGCGAAACCGCGAGGUCAAGCAAAUCCCAUAAAGUUGUUCUUAGUUCGGAUUGUAGUCUGCAACUCGACUACAUGAAGCUGGAAUCGCUAGUAAUCGUAGAUCAGCAUGCUACGGUGAAUACGUUCCCGGGUCUUGUACACACCGCCCGUCACACCACGAGAGUUUGUAACACCCGAAGCCGGUGGAGUAACCUUUUAGGAGCUAGCCGUCGAAGGUGGGACAAAUGAUUGGGGUGAAGUCGUAACAAGGUAGCCGUAUCGGAAGGUGCGGCUGGAUCACCUCCUUUCUAAGGA